rnacentral:rRNA from 1 species
GAUGAACGCUGGCGGCGUGCCUAAUGCAUGCAAGUCGAGCGAACGGACGAGAAGCUUGCUUCUCUGAUGUUAGCGGCGGACGGGUGAGUAACACGUGGAUAACCUACCUAUAAGACUGGGAUAACUUCGGGAAACCGGAGCUAAUACCGGAUAAUAUUUUGAACCGCAUGGUUCAAAAGUGAAAGACGGUCUUGCUGCCACUUAUAGAUGGAUCCGCGCUGCAUUAGCUAGUUGGUAAGGUAACGGCUUACCAAGGCAACGAUGCAUAGCCGACCUGAGAGGGUGAUCGGCCACACUGGAACUGAGACACGGUCCAGACUCCUACGGGAGGCAGCAGUAGGGAAUCUUCCGCAAUGGGCGAAAGCCUGACGGAGCAACGCCGCGUGAGUGAUGAAGGUCUUCGGAUCGUAAAACUCUGUUAUUAGGGAAGAACAUAUGUGUAAGUAACUGUGCACAUCUUGACGGUACCUAAUCAGAAAGCCACGGCUAACUACGUG